rnacentral:lncRNA from 1 species
ACGUUGGGCCUUUAGCCCAUCGGUGCCAUCAUUCCUCCAUCACAAGCCGCCCACCCCUAGGGUUCCUUCCACCAAGAGAGCAAAGGGGAUCGGGAGUCAGUUAUGCGCCGCCGCCUGCCGUGCGCCCAUCUCCACCAUCUCGCCGUCGCCGUCGCCGUCGGAUGCCUCGAAUGAGGAUCCUCCGGUGCUUGAGCAGAGGCGCCCAAAUAAGCAGCUCCCCCUUUGGGAGCUUGCAGCCCCCAAUCGAGGCAGCAGCAGCAGCUCCUCUCCGAGCUGCGACCGGCAAUCGAAGCAAUCAGGCGGCUCCUCUCCGAGCCGCAAUCCGCAAUCGAAGCAGCUCCCUUUUUAGUGGCUAAUCCGGAAGCAAAGCAGUCCUUUCCGGAUUACAGUCAGAAACAGGCCCUCUUUCGAAUUCAGUCUCCGAGUUUCCAUUGCCGGCGGGAACCUAGCUGAUAUAUACUGUAUAUAUCUGGCCUGGCGACAACCGCGGUACCCGCCAACAUCCUGAGGAGACCAAGUCGCGGCAACUCGUGAGCCUUCAGCUUGCCGAAUUUCGGAGGAGACUUGCAAAAUCCAUCCGAAUUCCGGCGAUGUCGAGCUCUCUUCGACGGCCAGCGGCUGCCAGACCCAUCUCCAAACCAUCCGCCAAGGGCCUCAACAGCCAUAACCGAUGGUCCUCUCUAGCCAAUCUGGUCAGUUACUAAUUAUCAUGUACAUCUUUUUUUCAUUGCCUGAGACAAUUCUUCAUCUAAAUCCUGUUACAAAUAGUACAAAGUAGGGAUCAUCAUAGUAGAAACGAGUGGUCAAAAUUGCUAUUUUGUGCGCGGAAAAUAGCACGAUUGCAGUUUUGCUGUUGGAAAGCAGCAAAAAUUACAGUUUUUUUUUCUUUCUGGAAACACGUACGAAUAAACAUAGCAUCCAGGAGACUGCAAGAAAUUCUUCAACUCUGAUUUUGUUCCAUGCUAAAUGCAGGCUGAGGAAGAAGAUGAAUCGGACCGGCUCAGCAAUUUGCCUGAGGGCGUGUUGCUCGAUAUUUUAGGGCGACUUGACAUCGCAGAUGCUGCUAGAACUAGAAUCCUCGCCAGACGGUGGAAGGAGAUUCCUACCAUGCUCUCCAAUUAUUUUAUAACAGUUGGUUCGUAUGACGAUGAGCACAAUAGAGGGUUGACCUGUGAUGAUGUAGCUCGGGCCAAUGCCACCGUCCUUGGAGCAACCAGGAGCUUGCUGGAAAGCAGGACUAGUACAAGCCUAUGCACCUCCAUUAAGCUCCUGCGCGUGCAAUUCUUCUUGGGAGAUGGAGAUGUUACUAGUAUCGGCCAGUCUCUUGCCAACACCAUGGCAAUGAACAAGGUUGGGUCAGCGGAAUUAACUCUCUUUACAAUGAAGGAAAGCACACGAUGCAGAAAGGACAAUGUUGUCACUUAUGGGAUGCAGUUUAAGUCAUUUUUUGACGCCUGUCCAAAGGCAUUCAGUGGUCUGGCAAGACUCAAGCUAGAAAAUUUGAGGCUAGCUGAAUCAUCGGGCUUCCCUGAAAUUCUCAGUGUAUGCAAGCAACUGGAGUUCCUCCGCCUGUAUAACUGCGACAUGGGGUACCUUUCUUUGCUAGAAGUGUCACACCCACUACUCUGUGAACUCGAGAUUGUCAAGUGUGAUUUUGAGAGGGUUGAUCUCGUGUGGCUACCAAAGCUCACAGUGCUGACUUAUUCUUGGUGGGUCUGUGAGCAUGAUCCUUUGUCUUUUGAUUAUGUCCCACUGCUCCAGACUCUGAGCCUCACCAGUAUGGCUCUUGCACGGCACAAGGUGCUCAAGUUAAGUGACUUCCUUGGCAAAGCCACCGUAAGCGACCUGCAUCUAAAUUUUCUGUGUGAAAAGGUUAGUGAAGGUGAUAUAAUCUUGUUAGUCAACUAAGUUUCCCUGUUUGCGCUACCCUUUAUGUUCUGUUCUUUAGGUUAACAGACAUAUUUUGUUUUCUGCAGAUCUGGGUUAAACCAGAAGAACCAGAUCAAUUGUUGCAGGUGUUCCACAAAUUAAGGCAUGUGACUUUGACCCACAUCUCUGAAGAAUGCGAUCUGAAUUGGACAAUGUUCAUUCUCCAAGGUGCACCGUACCUUGAGGAGCUAUGCAUCAAGGUAGUAAAGUUUUGUACCUAUAAUCUCCAAACAGUUUCCCUUUCUGUUUCAUGUGCGAGUUGCAGUGGAAUUGUCUAUCUCAACUUUCCUAUAAGCGCAUUAAAAUGUUGAGCUGGUGCAUAUGGUUUUAUUUUUCUUGCAUUUGUAAUUUUUGCCCGAUGAAAUGCAGGUGUGGGAUCAUCCAUGUGAUAUUAUAGAGGAUGAGAGGCUUAGGAAGAUGUAUGGGUUUAGCGAGGACAAGAAGGACGCAUGUGCAGUGUGGGAAGCGCCUGCAGAUUUCAAGCACCACAAUUUGUCUGUGCUCAGGGUCUUUGGGUUUCAGUGCGAGGAGAGGUUUGUGAAUUUCGUCAAAAGUGUCAUGGAAGCAUCGGUCGCUCUGCAGGACAUAUACUUGUGUGAGACGCCGGUGUGUGCGGACUGUGAGCACAUGAGGCAGAAUGACAGAUACCCGCGGACAAGCAAGCUUAGGACCAUGCUUAGGAACAUAUUUGACAGGGGGAUGUGCUCGCCUCUGAGGAUUCAUUUCCCACUUUCAAGAACAAACUGAAGGGCUCCCUAAUUGCAUUGCUGACUGAAACGCAGAAGGAAGGCAAACGAUGCAGAAAGGACGAUGUUCUCACAUAUGGGAUGCAGUUUAAGAAAUUUCUUGAUGCCCGUCCAAUUAAAAAGUUCACAAAUUUUAAAAAUGUUAAGGAAUUUAAUAAUGUUCCUGAAUUUUUUAAAAUAUUUUUUAAACCGAAAAAAUAAUAGGGAAUUAUGAAAUAUUAAUUCAGCAGAUUUAAAAAAUAUUCACAAAUUUAAAAAGACAAUCAUGAAUUCCAGUACUGACCCCAAAUUUUUAAAAAUCCAUUCACAAAUUAGGAAAUGGAAAUUUUAGAAAGUUUGCUAAUGUAAAUGAUUGUGUAUUGAAUUCAUAAUAUUCCCAAAUUUUGUAAAACUAUUUGCUAAUCUGAAAAAUGUUCACUGAUUAAAAUGGAAAAUAGAAAAAAUAGAUGAAAACUGGUGAAACCAAGAUAUAAAGCGCAAAAAGUAAGAGAAGUGUCGCACUGAGCGAGACCUCCCAUUCGGUGCUCUCAGCGCUGGUUAGCGUUGCUGGCGCUCAAACUCGACGUGUUGAGGGCCGGCGCAGUAAACGCGAAGCUGUCGCUCGAACAUCGGUCGCUCGCAUCACGUUUGACUGGUUGACCAGUUGGCAAUUGACUUUUCAAAAAAGCUCAUAGAAGUUAAGAAGUUGUAAAUCUGAAUAGAGUUCACAAAAAAAUGAUAAUAAAUCACAAAUUUAGAAAAGUUCACGAAAUUUGUAAAAAGUUCACGAAGUUUAAAUAAUCAUGAAUUUGAAAAAUAAAUUAGGAGCUAAUAGUUCAUGCAUCUGAAAGAGUUCAAAAUUAAAAAAAUCAUGAAUUAAAAAACACCUGCUAAAAAUUUAUAACUUUUAAAAGAAUCACAUAUUUGAAAGUGGUUCAUGGAUUAAGAAAACAUUAUUUUUUAAAACUGUUUACAAGAAAUGAAAAGAAAAGCCAAGAACGAAGAAAAAGGAAAAAGCUGAAAAAGAAAAGGAAACAAAAAAUAAGAAGAAAACCGAAGAAAAAACUGGAACAGGAACCAAGAAAACCAACUGGAAAACAUUAAAAAAAAACAUAAGUAUAUGGGACGGCCCGCUACAAAGCUAGCGUACAUGGGGGGAGGGGGUGCACCCCGUUGGUGCUUAAUGCGCUGAAUAGGAUUUGUGCACUGGGCUUGCACAUUGAGGGUUUAGGGGUCGCUAUGGUGGACUUCCCACGCCUUAUUCUGGGAAGAGUAUCCACAUAUAUAACACCCUUUUGCUUUAAAUUGUCGACAUGCCGCACAUGUGGUUACCCAGAUCAUUAUUGACAACUGUUGUGCGAUCAUUGCCUAUUUUUUUUUACUAGUUUUGAGUUAGUUGUUUCUGUUAGUUUGUCAAAAACAUCAAUACUUAUUUACUUAAAAAAUUAAACACUUCAUUUGAGAACAUAUUUUGAAAACAAAGCAGAUUUUUUUAAAAUCAAACAAAUUUUGAAAUGUAUGUGAGCAUUUUUGGAAAAAAACUCACAUUUUACAUAAAAUUUGUGGACGUUUACUUUGGAAGUAUGAAAUUUUGUUUGAAAUAUUUCCAGAAUUUUUAAAAGGAAAUCAAAUUUUGAAAUUGUAAACAAAUUGUGACACCAAAAAUUUUAGAAUCCCAUUUUUUGAACAUUUAUUGUAAUUAUGUUUAACAUGGACAUUUUUUUAUAUUCGGAACAUUCUAAAAUUUAGCUUUCAAGUAAAUUCAUAAAUUUUGCAAACAUUUAAAUAAAUGAAAACUAAAACAGGGGAACAAGACAACGAAAAAUAAAAAGAAAAAAUGAAAGAAAUCUGGUAAAUAAAACAACAAAAGGAAAACAAAUUGGAGCGAAACCUUCUAAAAGGUUCCUAAAACCGGAUUCCUUCUGUACGUCUAAUUGGGUCGUUUGUUUAACUAAUAUAUGAAGUAAGAACUUUCANNNNNNNNNNNNNNNNNNNNNNNNNNNNNNNNNNNNNNNNNNNNNNNNNNNNNNNNNNNNNNNNNNNNNNNNNNNNNNNNNNNNNNNNNNNNNNNNNNNNNNNNNNNNNNNNNNNNNNNNNNNNNNNNNNNNNNNNNNNNNNNNNNNNNNNNNNNNNNNNNNNNNNNNNNNNNNNNNNNNNNNNNNNNNNNNNNNNNNNNNNNNNNNNNNNNNNNNNNNNNNNNNNNNNNNNNNNNNNNNNNNNNNNNNNNNNNNNNNNNNNNNNNNNNNNNNNNNNNNNNNNNNNNNNNNNNNNNNNNNNNNNNNNNNNNNNNNNNNNNNNNNNNNNNNNNNNNNNNNNNNNNNNNNNNNNNNNNNNNNNNNNNNNNNNNNNNNNNNNNNNNNNNNNNNNNNNNNNNNNNNNNNNNNNNNNNNNNNNNNNNNNNNNNNNNNNNNNNNNNNNNNNNNNNNNNNNNNNNNNNNNNNNNNNNNNNNNNNNNNNNNNNNNNNNNNNNNNNNNNNNNNNNNNNNNNNNNNNNNNNNNNNNNNNNNNNNNNNNNNNNNNNNNNNNNNNNNNNNNNNNNNNNNNNNNNNNNNNNNNNNNNNNNNNNNNNNNNNNNNNNNNNNNNNNNNNNNNNNNNNNNNNNNNNNNNNNNNNNNNNNNNNNNNNNNNNNNNNNNNNNNNNNNNNNNNNNNNNNNNNNNNNNNNNNNNNNNNNNNNNNNCGCCAAAUCUAAAGUUUAAUGGUGUGUCCGGUGCGCUGCCCUGGCCAAAUUCUUUCAACAGUAAUGGCUUCACCUUUGAUAAGCUACUUUGUAAGUCUGACAACCAGCAUAUCAACGAUGGAGCCGUAUCGAGUUAAGGUGAGGAGGAGAUCCGUUAUUUUUCUUUCUGGUGUUUGUUGCGGUGGUGCUGGAGGCAAGUAACGAGCGUUGGGGUCAAGCUUAAGGGUGUCGUCGAUAUUGACUGUAAUUUUCUUUCUUAACGGUCUUUUAUGCAAACGCUAGCUUUCAGAUGUCUUUUUACUAGUUUUGUCAGGUCAAUGUCUUCGUGUGGUUUAUAAUUUGAUAAUUUUAUAUCAAUUAGACACAUACACAUACUACCAUAAAAAAAUAUGAAAAGUUUUUUGGAAGUAGUAGAGAGUAGAGAAAUACUAGUAGACGCUAUUUUUUUUAGAAAUACUGGAUCAUCUAUAAUUUGUCUAUAAUCGUACAUGUUGGACGGGAAUUGAUUAGCAAGGUCGAUUGCACAUUGGGUCUUUAGCCCAUCGGUGCCAUCAUUCCCCCAUCACAGGCCAAGGGUUCCACCAAGAGAGCAAAGGGGAUCGGGUGAAUAGCUCCCAUGCGACGUCGUUGGUGUGAACUGUCUCUCAUGCGACGUCGUUGGCUGUAAUAGCUUGCAUGCGACAUCUUCGUUGGAAAAAAUAGCUCCCAUGUGACACACCAUUUACGCGGCUAGUUGGCUGUCCGUUAGGCUGAGAUUUGGUUAGGACACUGGGGGUUAUGUGCUCUGACUGGUGGGGUCCACCUAUGGCCACGUAGUCAAGAGUCAACCGUCCACGACUCGACCGGCGACUGUGUGACCGUGCUCGACUCGCCCGUGCUGGACUGGGCGAGCGGCGCCGCCGUAAGCAACUUCUCCGGCAGUGGUUUCUUCUCCGCGGUGGUGGAGCGCAUUUCUCGGCAGCGGCAGAGCUAUUGCGAGGUGAGCCCGAAACCCUAGUCCCACUCCCCGAUCUGUGGCCUCAUGCUGCCCUCUGUUUCUUGGCGAUUUAGAAUCGGGCUCCAUUGGAUCCGGGGGUUGUUUCUUCUCCGCGGCCCGGUGGUGGAGCGCCUAUCCCUGCAGCGGCUAUUGCGAGUGAGUAUUUUCCAAACACUACUCCCAUUCCACUGAAUUUUGAAUAAAUCUGUGGCCUCAUGCUGCCCCUGUUGCUUGAUUGGAUAGGAGAUGGAGCGAGGGCUAGAUGAGAUGGAGCGAGGAGACGGGCUGCCCCGAGGAGACAUUGCUUCAAAUCGGUAAUGACACCCUCUUUUCUUGGCGAUUUAGAAUCGAACUCGAUUUGGUAGUGACUGCCGCCGCUGCCUGCCAUUGACAAAACAGGGGAGGUUCAGGUUCUGCCACCACAUUCGCAAUUAUAGUGGAAUUUUUUCCCUGUAAAGCCAAGCUCAGUGAUGGCAGUGUCCAAGACAUUGAUAGAGAUACCACCGUGAGGUUGGAUGUCGAUUUUGCAGAUGUUGAUCCCCAGGAAUUGGAGAUCAUGAAGGAGAAGGCCGUGGGCAAUUUGGUGGAGAGAAUUGGGGAGAGUAUUGUUUGGGGUCCAGAACAAGAGGUAUCUCUGCAACGUUUCGAUAACUAUAAUGGUGAAUAUGUGAGAAUUGAAGAUGGAGAAUCCAUGGUUGCUGAAAUUGAUCAGCAAGGAGGAUGGGCAAGCAAACAAGUAACAUUUUAUGCAGAGCUAAUUGAUCUGCAAACUCAUUCCAGAGUUGGUUAUGUGCCAUCAAAGAUGGCUGCACAGAUGGAAGAUGAUGAGUGGGUUUCACAAAAGAAGAUGUUGGCAUUGUUGACUGAACCGACUAUAGUAGCUGAAGAUACUGGGAUUGAUGCAGAUGGAGAGGAGGGAACCCAUGGUUCUAGGAAGAUUGUUGUUGACUGGAAUGUAGUAGAGUUGAAUGAAAAAACAGAUUUGGUCAUUACACCAAUAUCUGACAUUGAUAUGGCCGAAAUGUUUGGCAUUCAAGUUGAUGACAAAGAUAAGGAGAAGGAUGACAGUUCUUUGCCAGCUGAAGGUAACACAGGCCCUAGAAAUGCAAAUGAGGAUGAAAAACACCUGAUGAGAGAGGCUUCAGAUGAUGUGGAUGAUGCAGAUGAUAAUGAGCUGGUUUGUUUGUAUGACAAAGAGAACCCAGUUAUUGAGGUGGGAAAGUUGUGGCCAAGCAUGAAGGAGUUUAGGAUGUCUUUCAGGACCUAUGCAGUGAAAAAAGAGUUUGAUGCCAAGACUAUGUGGACUGAUCGAAAGAAAUUUUAUGCUCGGUGCAAAGGUUAUGAUGGUGGUGGCAAUCCUUGCAAAUGGUACUUGUCUGCCAGACUACAACCUGAUGGAAGUACAGUAAGGGUAAAUCAAAUACCACACCAGCAUACAUGUAUGACCACUUCACAGAGAGUUUCAAAGAUGACAUCACAGCUUUGGGUUACAGAGAAGAUUACUCCUAUUUUAGCCAAGACUCCAAACACUACUGCAAAGAGGCUUAAAGUUGACUUGGAGAAGUUGUACCCCAUCCAGCUGCAAUAUACCACAGUGUGGAAAGCAAAACAAAGGGCCAUGAAAUCAUUGUAUGGUGACUGGGCAAAUACAUUUAGGAUGUUAUAUAGUUUUAAAGCAGAGGUGGAGAAGAGGUCACCUGGGAGUGUAGUGGAGAUAGAUACAGAGGUAACAGAGGAUGGCAAGGUUUUAUUCAGCAAGUUUUUUAUGUGUUUGAAGCCUUGCAUAGAUGGAUUCAAAGCAGUUUGUCGUCCAUAUUUGAGCAUAGACUCAUCUUUUUUGACUGGAAAGUGGAAUGGUCAGUUGGCUGCAUGCAAUGCUCUAGAUGGACACAACUGGAUGUUCCCAAUUGCAAUAGAAAUGUUUCAAUCAGAGACAGAGGCAUCAUGGAUAUGGUUCAUGAUGCAACUGAAAAGAUGCAUAGGGCCAGUUUCUCCUUUGGCCAUCCACACAGAUGCAUGUAAAGGGUUGGAAAAUGCAGUAAAAAGUGUUUUCCCCCAUGCUGAGCAGAGGGAGUGCUUUGGACAUAUGUGGAUGAAUCUGAUAAAAAAAUUCAGAGGAGAUGAAUUUGGGCGCAUGUGGCCAGCAGCAAGAUCCUACACCAGACAGACACAUUCCUAUCACCUUGGUAAGAUAUUGACAUCAUGUAGUGAUAAUGAAUUUGCUUCAUGGUUGAACACCCACCAUUCUCUGUUGUGGUAUAGAUCAGGUUUUAAUACUGCCAUAAAAUGUGAUCAUAUCAAUAACAACUUGGCAGAAAGUUUUAACAACAAAGUGAAGCAUUUGAAAGACUUGCCUGUGCAUGACAUGGUGGACCAAAUAAGAAUCAUGAUCAUGCGUUUGUGUGAGUUGAGAGGAAAAAUUGCUAAUAUUUUGGAAGGGGACAAGCUUCCAGCAGUGGUACAACAGGUGGUCAACAGGAGUAGAAAUCUUUCACAUCUAUCUGUUGAGAAAUCUUCCUUGUGGGGUGCUGAAGUUAGAGAUACAAAGAGUGGCAAGAGGCAUGUGGUAAAUACUGAGUUGCAUGAGUGCACUUGCCAAGAGUGACAACACACUGGAAAACCAUGUGAGCAUUCCAUACUUUUUUUGGCAUCUAAACCCAGGUUAAAUAUGCACCCAUAUUUGCAUGAGUAUUAUUCAGUACAAAAAUUCAAAGCUGCAUAUGCAAGUCCAAUUCCUGCACUGACUGACCAAUCUCAGUGGCCUGAGGUGGAAAUAGAAUUUACCUUGUGUCCCCCUGUCACUAGAAGAAAGGCUGGGAGGCCUAAACAGAGCAGAUUCAAAGCUUGGUUUGAGAAAGGUGGUUGUAGUAAGAAGGGGGAAAAGGAAAAGGAAAAGAAUGAUAAGCCCAAAAGGGCUCAAAAAGGUAACAAAAAUAGGUGCAAGUUGUGUGAGGUACUUGGGCACAGAAUUGGUUCAUCCAAGUGCAUCUACACUCCUCAGAGGCCAAAGUAUGUUUAUGUUACUGUUUUUGCAAGUUUUUGAUUUUGCUACUUGUUCUAGUAUCUAACCAAGUCAAAUGCUUUAUUUUUUAGGAGGAAGCGUGCAGAAAAAGCCCCACCGCUUGUUGUUGAACAAUGCUGGCCAGUGAAAAAAGCAAGACUCAGUGGCUAUAGAAGGAAGAGCACUAAGCAGAUAAUGUUUGGUGACAAAGAUAUGGAGCUAACUGAAACUGUUACUGCUGAACAUGAGCUAAGUGUUUGUGUUUUGGACGAUGUGAUGCAUACUGAAUCUGUUUUGCAGACGCUAGGGCAAUCUGAAACUGUUGCAGAUGAAGCAACUGUUGUGCUGCCAUUCGAAUCUGCUUUGACAACUGUGUUGCCAUGUUUGGAGGUUGUGCUGCCAAGUGUUGAGUUGCAAACUGAAGUAGUUGAACAAUGUGUGCCAUCUACUCAAUCUGCAGAAGUGCAAACUGAAGAAGUAAGACAUGGUCAGGUGCAAAAGUUGAGGGGGCCAAAAAGCAAGAGCAUCAGCAUCAACAAACUAUGCGCCGUGGAACCAAACGGUGGAAAAAGCAGAAGAAAUCGAGUGGUAGAAAGAAGCAGAAGAAAUAGAGUCGAAAACAUUCAAAUUUGAUGUGAAAACUUAAGUUUGUUGUCAUUUGAUGUGAAAACUUAUGUUCUUUCAUGUGAUAACUUAUGUGCUAUGAUGUUGAUUUGACUUGAAAUAAAAUUCAAAUUUGAACCGAUAUUCAAAUUUGAACCUAUCUUCAAUAUUUUUUGAGUUCAUUUGUUUGUUCUGUGAUGUUGCAUCGUUUUAUGUACUACUAUGCACUUUAGUUCAUAAAUCCAACCCUUUUUGUGAAUUCCAACUCAUAGUCACGGACAAUGUUGACCAAACAGGCUCCAAAGUAAGGGAAAACGGCCCCAUUUCUAAGCAAGUUUUUUUCGACCUUCUCAAAAUCACCCAAAAAAGAUUUUCUUAGCUUAUAUUAUACCUAUAUAGGAUCAAUACGAAGUCUCACCUUUUUUUGAAUAAGUAUUCAUAUUAUUUAAUUUAUUUUUGAAAAAACACCCUUUAAUACAAAGUUAGCAAUAAAACAAGUUUAAAAAUUUUAAAUGCAAAAAUAACUUCAGAUCCUCCUUAGUCACUCUAAAAUGAAGCUAAGGUGAUGUUUUUGAUUUUUUUGCAUUUUCAAAAUCUCAAACCCUCUUCUCACUUCUGUGAACUCCAUGCAACCUCAGUCGAGAUAGUCCAAUUUGUGAAGGUUUUUUCAAGCAAAGAUCAUUAGAUCAAGUUUAUCAUUUUAUAUCAUAACUAUGUAACAUAAAAAGGCUAUAUGCGCAGGUUUUUCAUUUUUUAGAUUUUUUUUGAAUUAGUUAUACACAUUUGAAUGUUCGGUCAAACCUUUCAAAACCCCAUUGACUGCCUCCAAACCCCAUGUAGCCCUAGCGCCAAACGUCCACCGUCGAUCUAACCCUAACGCCAAACUGCGGUCGUCGGAUAGGCCUUCUAGAAGGAUUCCGUGGGGGCGAUCCGUGGGCUCCAAUCUGAUUGGCCACCGUUUUUUCUCUCUGACAAACAGAUAACGUUGAGCGGGGGAUCAUCUAAGUGACCGUUGGGCCGAGCGGAUCGGGCCCGGCAGAGCCUGGCGUGCGUGCGCACGGCCGUCGAGAGGGGGAUGGGCUGCAUGCGAGAGGGUCAAUGACAUGUGGGCCAUCCCUGUCCCAUGCAUGCCAUGCAACGUCGCAGCCUAGCUAUUCUUUGCUCGUGAACACCUAGCCCGCCAUUGCAUGCACGCAUCGACGCAGUAAAGCACGGCAGGGGCGCAGCGUAUAGGUACGUCGCAUCUAAGCUAUUUUAACAAAUGCAUGUUUGAACGAGACGGACGCGUCGGUGGUGCAGCUCCUUUUUCAGUGUCACGCGCGGAUGAACGAGCCUGUGCUGCCCGUGCCUCUUUGGAUGCUCUGGCCGCCGUUUUUUGAAUUAAUGCCCGCAAUUACUUAUGCCAGUGCGAACGGAGAAGAGAAAACGAUCCAGAAGGCACCGUGUACACAUUGACCACAGCUGCAACGCGGCUAUAAAAGGGCACCAUUUCCUCAUCCUCUCACACUCAUCUCUCAAGCCUCCUCCCCUUCUUCUUUUCGAGCCAAAUCCCACUCGAGCCACCAUGCAGUUCAACGGCCCUACCUACCGUCGCCCUCCCACCGUGCCGGAGAGGCAGUACCCGGCCGAAGUCGUCGUCGAGAAUAGCCUGAGGGUGUGGGCCAUCUCUAGGUGAAGGGGCCCUAGAGAGUUCGCUCGCUUCUUCCUCCAAGCCGGCUACCGCCACCUCCCUCCGGGCACUCCGCCCAUGUUCCACCUCCACGAGCAGUACGAUGGCAACGCCAACGGCCUCGUCAUCGGCCUCCACGUCACCUUCACCAACCCCUACGACGCUCACCACCUCCUCGGCCAGGUGUUCUGGUGUGGAUGCGAGUUUAUCGCGUUCACGACCUACAACAUCUUCACCAACUUCCACCACAUCUUCCCUCACCCCAACGGCAUGCACACCCUCCCCUACCAGAUGCCGGAGGAUGACGAGUGAGGGGCCCAAGGAGGAGGGGCCAAGGAGUGGCAAGGAGGAGGGGCCAAGGAGUUGUUCAAGGGGUGGGUCUUCUAUCUAUCUAGUUUGGGGCUCUAGUUUGUGUUUGUGUUGGUUCGGGCGUGUGUGCCCGUGUCUUUUAUAUAUCUAGUUUUAAUUAUUUUACUUUCAUGUUUUAUGAACUAUAUGUAGUGGGGGGAUGCCCCUCUAUAUGUUUUAUCUAUCUAUGCUACUAGGGUACCCGAUGCCCCACUAUCUAUCUAUAUGUUUUUUCGGUCCUAAAGUUUCUCCAUUGCAUUUUAUUUAUGUGGCCAUGUGUAUUAAAAAACAAUUGAUCUGGUAUCUAAAAUGUACGUUACCAAGAAAUUGACAAUAAAGAUUAUGUACUGUACUACAUAAUCAUACAGUUGGUAUACAAUGCAUUUGAAGACAAUGGGAAGAAAAAUGCUAAUUAUCUGGUGCUGAUGACAUGCGCAAGUGUUGUUUGAUGUUUAAAUCAUGCUUGCUAUGUCAUUUUUUGCUGCCAAACAUGGCAUUAGCGAGAAAGGUCAUUUGGGCACUGAAUGUAUUAAAGUAUACACCAUAUAUAAAAAUGUCUAGCCAAAAGAUUUGGGUGUACACCCAUGACCAAGUAUGGAUCCGCCCCUGGUUGUAAGGGGAUGCCCCUCUAUGUUGUAAGGAGAUGCUACUAGGGGCACACUAGAUGUCUUCUUUUUUGGGCACAACCUUUUUCGGUUGAAACACACGAGUAAAAACUUUGAAAACACCAUAGCACAAGUAAAAAAAUAUAUUAAGAAAUGGUGCUUGGUUGAAAUAAACUAGAACCAAACAAUUGCAACUUUUUUGGUUCACAAAGACUGCUCAAAUAAUUAUCUCAAAUAGCUUAUGCAUAAAAAUAUCUCAAAUAAUUAUCAGAUGAGUUAUCUCAAAAAAGGUGACUGCAGGAAACUUAAAAUUUGUGAAAUGAUCUAAAGCCGAAAAGAUAUAUUGAUGUCAAUGACCGUGUGCACUUUUUUUUGCACUCCUUUUAUCAAUGGGCCUGGAUAUGUUCUAUUCGGCCCUGCCUAACUUCUAUAUGGGCCUGGCCUUUUCGGGCAACUAUGGACGAACCUUUUUUUCCUUUUCUCCCUCUACCACUGAAACUGAAACUGAUGACGAACUGAAGAAAUAAAAAACGGGGCCGAAACAGAGUGGAGAGGACAUGCUGAAUUCAUACAGCGCAACACUUUUAUUCAAAUGUACAUAUCAUCCCGAUUACAAAUGAUGCCCAAUCUAUUCACUUACGACUAAUUAUCAUCACAUAAACAAAUGCGAGACCAAUUACACAAACAUAAAAAAGUGCGGCCAUGAGCCCCAUCAAAUUGCCCUGCUUCUGCAAUUUGAUGAGUUUCUUCAUCUGCUUGUUCAGCUUCUUCAGCUCUGCCGUCACUCCUGCAUCCCCCACAGUAGCACCAAUGGAAGGGCGGCCGCCCCCGAUGGAAUUGCCAGAUCCAGGGGCCCCGGAUCCAGAUGCGCCCGAUCCAAACUUGCCCAACUUCUCCGCCUCCAACAGUAAAUCGAGCUCCCCUGAUGCACCCUCUAGUUGAAUCCGCUCUAUGUACUCAUCUAGCCACUCAAAAUGGGUGCAUUGCUUCAAUUUCUGAAAUCGGAAAGAUGAACCCUAAAUCCCAAAUUCGAUGGGGAAAAAUGGGCAAAUAUGAAAUUGGGAGACAAAAACCAAAAUUGGCAUAUUGAGAAGUAAAAUCUCACCUUUCCCUGCUCUGGUUUGCUCUCGCAUUUCACGAAUUCCCGCCCAAGGUUGCCAUUCUUGUCGGUCGUUGUGACUAGCCGCUUCAGGGGUGCGAUACGUGGGCAUGCAGGGCAUCUUGUCAUGGGCACUGCGCCAUAGCGCGGCCAUGAGCGGCGGGAGGCUGAAGCGGAGCUCGACAUUGCUAGGUCGCGGCCCGGAACGGCGUUGCUGCGCGUUGUCGCCGGAGAAAAAGAACAACAACGGUCGGGGAGGGGGAGGGGGGAGGAUGGGCUCGGGUGCUGCACGGCUCGGGGCACGGCUCGGUGUCCUCUUGUACCAAUGCUGACCUGGAUAAGUUAGUGGGUCCCACGCUGUGGGUCCCGCUCACCUGACCAACGCUGAGUUGGAUAAGUUAGUGGGUCCCAUGCUGUGUGUCCCGCUCACCUGAUUCGAGUUUUAAACAUGUGUCUUUGGAUUAGGCAGCAGUGUCGCACGGGAGCUAUUUUUUCCAACGAAGAUGUCGCAUGAGAGCGAUUACAACCAACUACGUCGCAUGAGAGACAAUUCACACCAACGACGUCGCAUGGGAGCUAUUCACCCGAGGGGAUCGGGAGUCAGUUAUGAGCCGCCGCCUGCCGUGCGCCGAUCUUCCCCCUCUCGCCGUCGCCGUCGCCGUCGGAUGCAUCAAUGAGGAUCCAGCGGUGCUUGAGCAGAGGCGACCAAAUAAGCAGCUCCUCCUUUGGGAGCUGCAGUCCCCAAUCGAAGCAAUCAAGCUGCAGUCGGCAAUCCUUUCCGGAUUACAAUCAGAAACAGGACCUCUUUCGAAUUCAGUCUCCGGGUUUCCAUUGGUGGCGGGAACCUAGCAGCUAUUAUACAUAAAUCUGGCCUGGCGGACACCACGGUACUCGCCAAUUUUAAGAGGAGACGAGAUCGGCCUCAGCAAAUCCUCCCUCGAACAUGA